CUUCGUGAUGAUCCCGCGAACUGAGUGUACCUUUUUUCAGCACUUUCGUGCAAUGGAAUGUAAUGGCACGGUGCCCUCUUGUUGGGGUGUACUGAUA